AUGUUGGCGACAUAGACCCCGUAUACGAACCAACAGAGAAACAAUAGUCAUUUUCAUUAUUUUCCUUGGGUUCUUUCAGGUUUGCAGCCAAACGACUAGAAAUUGAGGUUGUUUCAUCAUCCGUCUCAUCAUCUAACAAUUCACUUUCAGAUUCACUGAAAAUCCUUCUGAAACCUUUGCCAUUUGUUCUGCGAAGUCGACCUUUGUCCACUGAUCUUCAGAAUUCUUGUUCUGGUCAGUUGAACCCUCAGCUGGUCCUUCUUGAAACUGGUGUGCAUAUGAAAUCAAUACAUAGCACAAGAUAGAGAAUAACCUUUCAAGGUUAGCAAUGAAAAUUAUAAAGAAAAUAACAAUAUUCGUCGUGAAGUGGAUAUAUAACUUCUUUUAAGUCCUGGAUUCGUUUAUAAAUCACUUUCCGUCCUAUAAAAGCAAGUGUGCUUCAUGCAACACUUCUGUGGAAUACGCAAAAAUUUUGAAUUAGUGGGUUCUGCUCUCUAUACUUGCACGUGCACCCGCUCACACAUGUACACAUAUAUGUAGUCCGAGUUAGAUGCAAUUGAUUCUCUCCUAUUCGUAUCUAGUCUAAGGUUGUCACUGAUUUGAGGAGGAAGAAACAGAUAGUGAAUGGCAGGAAUAUUGAUUCUCUCCUAUUCGUAUCUAGUCUAAGUCUGUCACUGCUUCGAUGAUGGCACAAAAUCUUCAUAUACUUGAGUUGGUACAGCAGUUGUAGCUCCCUUUAAAUCCAUUUUUUGUGUUUCUUUUCUUACUUUUGCUAGUAUGCAAUCUUUCCCUUUAUCCUUUGUUCUUUGUUCUUGUUGAUGGAAAGGAUGAAGCUGUAGUGUAUAUAUACACACAGAAAGUCCUCAAAGAAAACUUUCUUGAGAUGCUCU